GAAGUUGGAUUCGCUAGUAAUCGCGCAUCAGCCAUGGCGCGGUGAAUACGUUCCCGGGCCUUGUACACACUGCCCGUCAAGCCAUGGGAGCCGGGGGCGCCUGAAGUCCGGGACCGCGAGGACCGGCCUAGGGCGAAACUGGUAACUGGGGCUAAGUCGUAACAAGGUAGC
rnacentral:rRNA from 1 species